rnacentral:rRNA from 1 species
CAGUCGCCGCGGUAAUACGUAGGGUGCAAGCGUUAAUCGGAAUUACUGGGCGUAAAGCGUGCGCAGGCGGUUUGUUAAGACAGAUGUGAAAUCCCCGGGCUCAACCUGGGAACUGCAUUUGUGACUGGCAAGCUAGAGUGUGGCAGAGGGGGGUGGAAUUCCGCGUGUAGCAGUGAAAUGCGUAGAUAUGCGGAGGAACACCGAUGGCGAAGGCAGCCCCCUGGGCCAACAUUGACGCUCAUGCACGAAAGCGUGGGGAGCAAACAGGAUUAGAUACCCCAGUAGUCCCUGUCUCUUAUAC